rfam:Apaloderma vittatum contig91409, whole genome shotgun sequence.
UAGCUCAGUCAGUUAGAGAGUGGUGCUGAUAAAACUAAGGCCGCAGGUUCGAUCCCUGC